rnacentral:rRNA from 1 species
AGUGAACGCUGGCGGUAGGCCUAACACAUGCAAGUCGAACGGCAGCACAGUAAGAGCUUGCUCUUACGGGUGGCGAGUGGCGGACGGGUGAGGUAUACAUCGGAAUCUACUUUUUCGUGGGGGCUAACGUAGGGAAACUUACGCUAAUACCGCAUACGACCUACGGGUGAAAGCAUGGGAUCUUCGGACCUUGCGCGAUUGAAUGAGCCGAUGUCGGAUUAGCUAGUUGGCUGGUUAAAGGCCCACCAAGGCGACGAUCCGUAGCUGGUCUGAGAGGAUGAUCAGCCACACUGGAACUGAGAAACGGACCAGACUACUACGGGAGGCAGCAGUGGGGAAUAUUGGACAAUGGGCGCAAGCAUGAUCCAGCCAUACCGCGUGGGUGAAGAAGGCCUUCGGGUUGUAAAGCCCUUUUGUUGGGAAAGAAAAGCAGCAGGUUAAUACCCCGAUGUUCUGACGGUACCCAAAGAAUAAGCACCGGCUAACUUCGUG